rnacentral:rRNA from 1 species
CAGAGGGUGCGAGCGUUGUCCGGAAUUACUGGGCGUAAAGGGCGCGUAGGCGGUCCUGGAACGCGUGCCGUGAAAGCCCGGGGCUCAACCCCGGGUCGGCGGUGCGAACGGGGGACUGGAGCACAUCAGAGGCAGGCGGAAUUCCGGGUGUAGCGGUGGAAUGCGUAGAGAUCCCGGAAGAACACCGGUGGCGAAGGCGGCCUGCUGGGGGUGUGGCUGACGCUGAGGCGCGACAGCGUGGGGAGCAAACAGGAUU